rnacentral:lncRNA from 1 species
ACUCUGUGAGUUGAACGAACACAUCACAACGCAGUUUGUGGGAAUGAUUCUGUCUAGUUUUGAAACGAAGAUAUUUCCUUUUCUGCCUUUGGCCUCAAAGCGCUUGAAAUCUCCACUUGCAAAUUCCACAAAAAGAGUGUUUCAAAUCUGCUCUGUCUAAAUGAAAGUUCAACUCUGUCAGUUGAAUACACACAACACAAGGAA